rnacentral:lncRNA from 1 species
AGGAAACGAAACAGAGAAGAAACAGGGGAGAAAGAAAGAAAGAAAAGAAAAAGGGAAUAUAAGAUUUUAAAGGUUCCAAGUUAAUUUGGUAAGUCAAUUUAGCCCCUUUUUCUUAUGAUUUUUGAGUUUUUUGGAAUCUUAGAGAUAAAUGGUACUUGUUUUAAGUAGAAAUUUUGAAAGUCAUUAGAUUUCUAAGUUUGGUUCAUGUUGAAUAAAAUGAUGGAAUUGGGGGUUUAUUUGAUAGAAAUUUUGAUUGGAAUUGAAUAAAGGAUUGAAUCGUAAACUAAGCUAUAAGUUUUGAGUUUUAGGGAUUAAAUGGAAAUAAAUUCGAAAUUAUGAAAAUAUGCUGGAAAUUUAAUAGUUAAGUAUGAGUUUGGACAAAAUUUGAAUAGAAAUAAAGUAUGAAUUAAGAUAGAAAAGUAAGAGAAUUUAGUUAGGAUUAAAUUGAAAUUAAAGUAAAUCAACAUUUUGCACUAAAACUAUUUUAGACAGCAACAGUAGUCUAACUUUGAAAAAUCAUAACAAAUUAUAGAAAUCGAAUUAGAAGAUGAAUAAAAUAUUAAAUUAAAGCUUAUUGAGUCUAGUUUCUUAUAGAAGAAACGAUAUAAGCAAUUGAAUUGUAAAUUAUGAGAUAUAACGAAUUUUGUGAGACAAGGUCAGAAUGAAUUCGGGUUCCCCUGUUCUGACUUUGGAAAAUCACCAAAAAUUGAAGAAAAAUAAUUAGAGGCUUAAAGUUAUAUUUUUAGAAUCCCUAAUGAGUCUAUUUUCUGGAGAAAUCAACGGGAAUAUUAUCCGAGUUCUGUACUGUGAGUUAAUUAAUUUUUAGUGAAGAAGGGACGAAACUGUCAGACAGCAGAAUAGGAGUGAAUUUAAAGAAUAAACUGUACUUAAUGGCUAAACCAAAAAUUCUGAAAAUUUUAUUGUAAGAAGAUUUGUGAGUCUAGUUUCAGGAAAAAUUAGCGGAUCUUAAUUUAGAAUUCUGUAACUCAAGAUAUGAAUUAGUAAUGUAUUAAUGAUUAUGAAUUGUAUUAAUUUCGUAGUCAAUGUGGUACCGGAAAUCUCGGCUAAGAAAGGACAAGACAAAGUCAACGGGAGUUAGCUCGAAAAUUACGGUUUGUAUUUCUAUAAUCUGAACCUAGUUAUUAAUUGUUAUAUUUUUUUUAUUCAAUGCAUUUAAUAAAUGUUGAAGUGAGAAUUAUUGUGUUUAUAAUGGAAAUGGAUUAAUUUGGUAUGUGAUGAAUAUAUAUUGAUUGAAUUAAAUUGAAUUAUAUAUUAUAAAUAUAUAUGUGUGUGUGUGUGUGUGUGUGUGUGUGUGUGAAUGAGAUAUUAUGCAAUUAUGAUAAUUGAAUUUUGGAUAAAUAUUAUGAUAAAUAAUUAAGAUGAGAAUUAUUUGUAUUGUGUCUUUAUAAUUGAAAUGAAUUGAUUUAGUGUGUGAUAAAUUUAUAUUGAAUUGAUUUAUGAAUAUCUGUUUUAUUGAAUUUAUAUUGAUUGAAAUUAUUUUGAUUGAAUUUAUAUUGAUUAAAUUAUAUAAUAUAUAUGAUUUAUGUAGAAAUUUGAAUAUUGAAUGAAUAUUAUAUUGAAAAAUAUAUUGAUUAGAAAUAUGAGGAAAUUGAUAUGAAUAUAUGAGAUUGUGAUAUUUGAAUAUUUGAUAUUGAAAAAUGAAUUGAAUUGUAUUGAAUUAUGAAUUAAUGUGAAUAAUUGAAAUAUAUUGUUGAAUUGAAUGAAAUUGUAUGAAUUGUGAAAAUGGGUAAAUAUAUGUAAUUAUUUGAAUGAGAUAUUGAUGAAAGAAUUAUUAAAUUGAGAAAGUGAAUGAAAUACCCUAUUAACUAGUCGGGCUAAGUCGGAUAUAAUUGGCAUGCCAUAAGAUCUGAAAGUGUACGGGAUUUGCCGGCUUUACCAAUUAGGCACUUUAUGUGUCGUAUUUCAGGCACCUCGUGUGUCGUAUCAGGCACCUCGUGUGUCGUUUUAGGCACUUUAUGUGUCGUAUACUGAUCAGGUACUAUGUACCGUUUUAGGCACAAUGUGCCGUACUGGUGUGUUUGGGUUGGAAUCCGUGUAUCCGUCAAAGUCCGGGUUGUUAAUAGGGGUAAAUAAGUGAAAGAUAAAUCGAAUAAAUUUGAUUGAUCAAGCUAUUGAAAUGAAAAGAAAAAUUGAAUUGAGAAUUGAAAAUUUAGAUAUGAAAUUGAAAAUAUGAACCAAAGGUUCAUGAAAUGAUUGGAGUUCGAAUUGAUGAUAUAUGAUGCCACUUGAUGAAUUGAAAUGUGAUUUGAGAUAUAUGAAUCGCAUGUAUAUACUGAAAGCUAUCAGGGAUAGUAAGUUGAUAUGAUAUAAAUGAAAUUGACUGUUAUUGAAAUGAAUUAAAAUGGAAUAUGAUUGAUAAGUGUAUAGUUGAAUAUAGUUUAAUGAUAUUGAAUUGUGAGUAAAUUAAGGGAAGCUAUACCGAGUAGUAAGUGAAAGAAUGGAGUAAAUAAUAAUGGAUUUAGUUAAGAAUUGAACAAUUAUGUUAUUGUGUUUAUUAUAUGAUUUGUAUAAAAUUUAUAUGGUAAGUAGUUGAAAUUUAUCUAUGAAUAAAUAAUUGAAUAAUUGUAAUUGUUAUUAUGAUCUUAAGUAUUUGUUAUAUUAUUAAUUGUUCGGAUUAUAGAAAUACCACUGAGUAUACCAUACUCAGCGUACGGUUUGUUAUCGUGCGCAGGUUAAGUAAAGAUAGUACGUUGAAUCAGCAUCCUAAGACGAUCCCAAAUUCAUUAAGGUAAAGUAUGUUGAGUAUUGAUAAUGUCAUGUACCUAGGACGUUUUAUGAGAGUCAUUUAGGUUACAGAAGUAUUGAUGAAAUGAGUAAAUUAUGGUUGGCAACGGUAUGUAGUAUGAAUUUUGAAAUUUACUAAGAAUUCGUAGUGAUUCUAAAUUAGUCCCGAAUUGAAUUUACUGUUCAUAUUGGACCGCGAGGGCCCAUUAAAGGGACGACAUCUUAAAACUAGGAUGUGUGUGAAUAUUUAUUUUAAUUAAUGACCGGAAUUGGACUGUACUGACUGGUAAUGUCUCGUAACCCUAUUCUGGUGACGGUAUAGGGUUAGGGGACGUUACAUUAACCCACUGGUUGCCUUGAUAUCUAUACAUGUUACAAAAAAAGGUGUCAAACUCACACUAGGCUUGAAGACUCUAGCUUAGUCCCUCUUCACUUCGGGCAACAGUUUAGAUUACCUGCAAUCAAAAAAGAGAAUCAUGGUAAGUUCAUAAGAACUUAGUGAAUUCAAAAAAAUAAUAAUAAGUUACUUUCCUUUUUGUUGAUUAGCUUAAGAGUAUGCCACGGGUCACAUUUAGACAAAACUUGCGUAUUCAUACGCUGUACAUGGAAAUAAAGCAUGUAAAAACAAGAUUUUACAACAUAUAAUUGGGCUUGAAUUUCACAAUGGCACGGUACACAACGCAUGAGUAUUCCUUUCGUCAAUGAUCAUAAUGCUCAUUGUCUCUAUGUACAAACUUGUUGUGAGUAAACUUGGCAAAUGACCUAUUAGAUGGAUAGUUACAUUAUAGAUUAACUAGGCGAACAAUCCUGCGAACUCUCACAUGCAGAUUCAUAAAUGUGGAUUCAUAUAUGCGAAUUCAUAGAUACGAAUCCAUACGUGUGGAUUCAUAGAUGCAGAUUUAUACAUGCAGAAUUAUAUACGCGGAUUUAUACAUGCAAAUUUAUCGAUGUGGAUUUAUAGAUGCGAAUUCAUAGAUACGGAUUCAUAGAUGUGGAUUCAUAGAUACAAAAUGUCUCGAGGACUUUCAUAUGGCAAAGUCCUCCAUAUAGCUUUAACAUGAAAACUUGAGGACAAGUCCAACAGAUCAUCAUAGCUUGUGUAUGCCCAUGGCCAUGGGACUUGCAUACAUACAUGAGGCUUAAAGUCUUAGACUUCGUAGAGUCUCAUACUUGAAAAGAACCUUCGUAGGGUUUUCAUAUACUUGUACACAUAUAUCUCCGUACAGUCCAUUCGAACCUCCGCAAAGCUAAAUAACAUACAUCACUUCAACUCUUAUUAUCUACUUUACAUACCUCCUUAUUUCAUAAAUAUCAUGUAUUACCAAUUAAACAUAGUAUAAAAGUGAAAGUGGAAAAAAGAUGGAAAUAGUCAUCAUCUUUUCCAUUGCAUGACCGUCCUCCACUUUUCUUUGAAACCUUUGUAUAUUUGAUCACCUAUUUCAAGUAAGUCCCUAGCCAUUUUUCUUUGAUUUUUAUGGAAAUUGAAUCAUGGGAGCUUGGUUUAGCUAGCCUGUGUAUUAUUUUGUUCAACUUAUGAAAAUUUGAUAAGUUACCAUUGUUAAGAAAUUGAAGAAUAAUGCUUGAAAUUGAUAGAAAUUAAGUUUAGAUUAUGAAAAAGAAGUAAAUUGUAACGCUUAACAAGCUUGAUUGUUAGCAUUGUUACAUUAAAACCAAAUUGAAUAAAAGGAAAACAUGUUAUGAAAUUAUGCUAGGAAUAGAAAGUAUAGGGUCCCUAAUGAGUAAAUGUGAAAUCAAAUUUUAAUGUAAAGCUCUAUAUCGAAAAUUAUGUUUGUCCCGGGUUUAGCGACUAAAUUGAAAAAUAUACUUAACUUAUAUUUGAUUGUGAAUUGAAUGGAAAUUAAUAUUUUUGUAUGUUGUGUGACUGUACGUAGCUAACAUCGACGCUGAGCCUCUAAGAGGAAAAGAAAAGGCGAUAAUUGUUGACAAGUGACGCAAGACCCCGGUUUGUACUUUUAUGAUUUGGAAUCAAUUUAAUUGUUUGCAUAUACAUGUUAAUUGCACGAUUUAAUGUUGAG